GACGAACGCUGGCGGCGUGCCUAAUACAUGCAAGUCGAGCGAAGUUUUUCUGGUGCUUGCACCGGAAAAACUUAGCGGCGAACGGGUGAGUAACACGUAAAGAACCUGCCUCAUAGACUGGGACAACUAUUGGAAACGAUAGCUAAUACCGGAUAACAGCAUUAACUGCAUGGUUGAUGUUUAAAAGUUGGUUUUGCUAACACUAUGAGAUGGCUUUGCGGUGCAUUAGCUAGUUGGUGGGGUAAAGGCCUACCAAGGCGACGAUGCAUAGCCGACCUGAGAGGGUGAUCGGCCACACUGGGACUGAGACACGGCCCAGACUCCUACGGGAGGCAGCAGUAGGGAAUCUUCCGCAAAGGGCGAAAGCCUGACGGAGCAACGCCGCGUGAGUGAAGAAGGAUUUCGGUUCGUAAAGCUCUGUUGUUAGGGAAGAAUGAUUGUGUAGUGACUAUACACAGUAGAGACGGUACCUAACCAGAAAGCCACGGCUAACUACGUG
rnacentral:rRNA from 1 species